GGGUUGUGAGGUUAAGCGACUAAGCGUACACGGUGGAUGCCCUGGCAGUCAGAGGCGAUGAAGGACGUGCUAAUCUGCGAUAAGCGUCGGUAAGGUGAUAUGAACCGUUAUAACCGGCGAUUUCCGAAUGGGGAAACCCAGUGUGUUUCGACACACUAUCAUUAACUGAAUCCAUAGGUUAAUGAGGCGAACCGGGGGAACUGAAACAUCUAAGUACCCCGAGGAAAAGAAAUCAACCGAGAUUCCCCCAGUAGCGGCGAGCGAACGGGGAGCAGCCCAGAGCCUGAAUCAGUGUGUGUGUUAGUGGAAGCGUCUGGAAAGGCGCGCGAUACAGGGUGACAGCCCCGUACACAAAAAUGCACAUGCUGU
rnacentral:rRNA from 1 species